rnacentral:rRNA from 1 species
UACGUAGGGUGCGAGCGUUGUCCGGAAUUAUUGGGCGUAAAGAGCUCGUAGGCGGUCUGUCGCGUCUGCUGUGAAAUCCCGAGGCUCAACCUCGGGCUUGCAGUGGGUACGGGCAGGCUAGAGUGCGGUAGGGGAGAAUGGAACUCCUGGUGUAGCGGUGGAAUGCGCAGAUACCAGGAAGAACACCGAUGGCGAAGGCAGUUCUCUGGGCCGUAACUGACGCUGAGGAGCGAAAGCGUGGGGAGCGAACAGG